AUUGAACGCUGGCGGCAGGCAUAACACAUGCAAGUCGAACGAGUGGCGGACGGGUGAGUAAUUUCUGGGAAACUGCCUGAUGGAGGGGGAUAACUACUGGAAACGGUAGCUACUACCGCAUACCAUCAGAUGUGCCCAGAUGGGAUGAGCUUGUUGGUGGGGUAACGGCUCACCAAGGCGACGAUCCCUAGCUGGUCUGAGAGGAUGACCAACCACACUGGUAUGGAGACACGGUCCAGACUCCUACGGUAGGCAGCAGUUGAGUAUAUUGCACAAUGGGCGUAGUCCUGAUGCAGCCAUGCCGCGUGUAUGAAGAAAGCCUUCGGGUUGUAAAGUACUUUCAGCGGGGAGGCGUGACCCGCAGAAGAAGCACCGGCUAACUCCGUGCCAGCAGCCGCGGUAAUUC
rnacentral:rRNA from 1 species